rnacentral:rRNA from 1 species
UACGUAGGGUGCAAGCGUUGUCCGGAAUUAUUGGGCGUAAAGAGUUCGUAGGCGGUCUGUUGCGUCGGCUGUGAAAACCCGGGGCUCAACCCCGGGCCUGCAGCCGAUACGGGCAGACUAGAGUUCGGCAGGGGAGACUGGAAUUCCUGGUGUAGCGGUGAAAUGCGCAGAUAUCAGGAGGAACACCGGUGGCGAAGGCGGGUCUCUGGGACGAUACUGACGCUGAGGAGCGAAAGCGUGGGGAGCAAACAGG